rnacentral:rRNA from 1 species
CCCCGGUAAACGGCGGCCGUAACUAUAACGGUCCUAAGGUAGCGAAAUUCCUUGUCGGGUAAGUUCCGACCUGCACGAAUGGCGUAAUGAUGGCCAGGCUGUCUCCACCCGAGACUCAGUGAAAUUGAACUCGCUGUGAAGAUGCAGUGUACCCGCGGCAAGACGGAAAGACCCCGUGAACCUUUACUAUAGCUUGACACUGAACAUUGAGCCUUGAUGUGUAGGAUAGGUGGGAGGCUUUGAAGUGUGGACGCCAGUCUGCAUGGAGCCGACCUUGAAAUACCACCCUUUAAUGUUUGAUGUUCUAACGUGGACCCGUAAUCCGGGUUGCGGACAGUGUCUGGUGGGUAGUUUGACUGGGGCGGUCUCCUCCUAAAGAGUAACGGAGGAGCACGAAGGUUGGCUAAUCCUGGUCGGACAUCAGGAGGUUAGUGCAAUGGCAUAAGCCAGCUUGACUGCGAGCGUGACGGCGCGAGCAGGUGCGAAAGCAGGUCAUAGUGAUCCGGUGGUUCUGAAUGGAAGGGCCAUCGCUCAACGGAUAAAAGGUACUCCGGGGAUAACAGGCUGAUACCGCCCAAGAGUUCAUAUCGACGGCGGUGUUUGGCACCUCGAUGUCGGCUCAUCACAUCCUGGGGCUGAAGUAGGUCCCAAGGGUAUGGCUGUUCGCCAUUUAAAGUGGUACGCGAGCUGGGUUUAGAACGUCGUGAGACAGUUCGGUCCCUAUCUGCCGUGGGCGCUGGAGAACUGAGGGGGGCUGCUCCUAGUACGAGAGGACCGGAGUGGACGCAUCACUGGUGUUCGGGUUGUCAUGCCAAUGGCACUGCCCGGUAGCUAAAUGCGGAAGAGAUAAGUGCUGAAAGCAUCUAAGCACGAAACUUGCCCCGAGAUGAGUUCUCCCUGAGACUUAGAGUCUCCUGAAGGAACGUUGAAGACGACGACGUUGAUAGGCCGGGUGUGUAAGCGCAGCGAUGCGUUGAGCUAACCGGUACUAAUGAACCGUGAGGCUUAACCUUA